GACAGGGCUCAGGGGUUAUUUAUUGUUGUUCUUCAAAUACAUCUCCGUGACAAAAUGGAAAAUGGUCAACUGGGAAUCCAAACGAUAUUUUCAUCAAGCUCAAGAUAAUUUCUUAGGGCAUUAUUUGGAAGGACUUUACAGAUUAUUUCAUUUAGACACCACAACAACUAUACAAGAGUAUCAGAACUUACUUCCCUCAAGCUGUUUGAAAAACAUGCUGCCUCUUCAGAUGUCAACCAAGUAGAACAGGUGUACCAGGGUCAUAUAUGAAUCACCCUCAGACAAGAACCAGCUGCAUUAAAUGAUGGUGAUGGUGAAGAUGAAAACUAUGAAGAGAACAUCAGGAACUUAAAAACCGAUAAGAGCCUGAGAUUCUCUUUGGUUCUGAGAAAUGCACCCCGAGCAAUGCUCGCAUCCUGACCACAAUCCAUUAGUCAGAGAGAAGAUCGAGGAAAACGACACAAAUUUUGAAGUGUGGGAACAUCACUAACACUGAACUGAAGCUUGAGAACUUGAAAGUGAAAGCGACUGGAAAUGAAGUGAAAGAGUUCAGUGGUGAAGAAUGAAAUGUGAAAAUGAACUAACAUUUUAAAUGAAGCACACCUCU